rnacentral:misc_RNA from 1 species
GCUAGGGUUAAUAUGCUAUAAAAGGACGAGAGAAAAUAGGGAACGCAAAGGCGCCUGAGGCCGAGCGCUUCCCUCGUGAGUAAAGGGGUGGCGUGGUAUUCCACGGAGAGAGGUUCUUUUGAAAAUCGUGGCGCUUGAUGGUGCGACGGGCGCACAAUAAGCAAACUUGGGGCUGCCAUGGCCGCUUGGCUGCUUUAGUCUUUGCAGCCAAAGCGAGGGGAUUGCCCUACAUGUUAUUCUUCCA